rnacentral:rRNA from 1 species
UACGUAGGGUGCAAGCGUUGUCCGGAAUUAUUGGGCGUAAAGAGCUCGUAGGCGGUUUGUUGCGUCGGCUGUGAAAUCCCGAGGCUCAACCUCGGGUCUGCAGUCGAUACGAGCAAACUAGAGUGUUGCAGGGGAGACUGGAAUUCCUGGUGUAGCGGUGAAAUGCGCAGAUAUCAGGAGGAACACCGGUGGCGGAAGGCGGGUCUCUGGGGCAACAACUGACGCUGGGGAGCGAAAGCGUGGGGAGCGAACG